UACAGAGGGGGCAAGCGUUGUUCGGAAUUACUGGGCGUAAAGGGCUCGUAGGUGGCCAACUAAGUCAGACGUGAAAUCCCCAGGCUCAACUUGGGAACUGCGUCUGAUACUGGAUGGCUUGAAUUCGGGAGAGGGAUGCAGAAUUCCAGGUGUAGCGGUGAAAUGCGUAGAUAUCUGGAGGAACACCGGUGGCGAAGGCGGCAUUCUGGACUGUAACUGACACUGAGGAACGAAAGCCAGGGGAGCAAACGGG
rnacentral:rRNA from 1 species